rnacentral:rRNA from 1 species
GACGAACGCUGGCGGCGUGCUUAACACAUGCGAGUCGAACGGAAAGGCCCCUUUGGGGGUACUCGAGUGGCGAACGGGUGAGUAACACGUGAGUAACCUGCCCUUGACUUCGGGAUAACUUCAGGAAACUGGGGCUAAUACCGGAUAGGAAUCCUUGCUGCAUGGUGGGGGUUGGAAAGCUUCGGCGGUUUUGGAUGGACUCGCGGCUUAUCAGCUUGUUGGUGGGGUAGUGGCUUACCAAGGCUUUGACGGGUAGCCGGCCUGAGAGGGCGACCGGCCACAUUGGGACUGAGAUACGGCCCAGACUCCUACGGGAGGCAGCAGUGGGGAAUAUUGCACAAUGGGCGGAAGCCUGAUGCAGCAACGCCGCGGGCGGGAUGACGGCCUUCGGGUUGUAAACCGCGUUCAGCAGGGGCGAAGCUUGUGGUGACGGUACCUGCAGAAGAAGCACCGGCUAACUACGUG